GUACUCUGUAACUGCUCUGGAGAUGCAAGGAAUCCUUGCGCUCCAGUGAAGUGAGGCAAUAGGAGGGGACCCUAUGGGCUUUAAUGGGCAUGUGAAUUAAUCUGCAGUAGCCUGACCUAUGAAGCAGACAGAUGAUCCAGCUUGUUUCAAUCAGCCAGUCUCGUGCUUCUGUGUGAAUGAGGAAUUAGAAGGUGGGUGUGGAACAAGAGAGGUGAGUAACCCCACUCCAUGUGUUCAGUCCACAGCAGCACGCUGAAUAGCAGCACACUGGAACUCCCCUCACCCUUCCAGACCAGUCUGCAAUCUUACAUUGCCAUUCCUAAUGUGGCCAUCUCUCAGUGCACUUUACAGACCAAGGGCAAGAUCCAUUCAUUGGCCUCUGGCCACAGAGGGUCUGUUGGAAAUGGGAUCUCAGUGGUGCAAGCCGCCUGUGAGGACUGGGCUGGAGCUGCACAGUGCCCCUGUGAAGUUGGUAGCACUUGCCAGUAGAGAGAAGGGAUGGGAGUAGUCCAGCUUGAAGACACCCUUAUUCAGGGCUUUUCUCAGACAACCUCCAGGGAUUUUAAUGCUACCCUUCGCCAGCCA
rnacentral:lncRNA from 1 species